rnacentral:sRNA from 1 species
CCAAAUUUAUCAUAAAAACUAGUUAGUGGCCUUGUACGGCCUUAAGGGUUCCGUUUCGGGUACAAGUAAAGCAUUUUAAGUUUAAUGGCAAUUAACCUUCGCGCUAGGAGGAAAUUAAAAUCAUGAGCCCGAAAUAACCCGCGUAUGUGGGUCUACAUAAAUCUACAACCCCUCUGGCUACAAGGGGAACUGGAGGUUGGGUUGGCUUCGGUCCUGACAGCAGAAACUUAUAUAUUUCGAGUGCAAGUCAAGUCUCUCGCUCUCUUCCGCUGGCUCUAUCUCUGGCUGCUUCCAUGCUGCACUUCUUGCUCGUAGACCUCUUGGCACGCCCCCCCACACGCCUUGGCAUUUGUAUUAGCUGAUUGUGUGGGGGCGACUGUGGCUCGGUUGCCGCAUACAAGCUCGUAAAUUGAAUAAAAGUUCAAAUGUUGGCAAUUAA